rnacentral:rRNA from 1 species
GGUAUGGGAUGAGCUUGCGUCCGAUUAGCUAGUUGGCGGGGCAACGGCCCACCAAGGCGACGAUCGGUAGCCGGCCUGAGAGGGUGAUCGGCCACAUUGGGACUGAGAUACGGCCCAGACUCCUACGGGUGGCAGCAGUAGGGAAUAUUGCACAAUGGGGGGAACCCUGAUGCAGCAACGCCACGUGUGGGAAGAAGCAUUUCGGUGUGUAAACCACUGUCAUGAGGGAAUAAGGCCUAUUUUCGGAUAGGAUUGAAUGUACCUUGAGAGGAAGCACCGGCAAACUUCGUGCCAGCAGCCGCGGUAAUACGAGGGGUGCAAGCGUUGUUCGGAAUUACUGGGCGUAAAGGGAGCGUAGGCGGAGAUUCAAGCGGAUUGUACAAUCCCGGGGCCCAACCCCGGCUCUGCAGUCCGAACUGGAUCUCUUGGAUAGUUCAGGGGCAGGC